GAUAAACGCUGGCGGCGUGCCUUAUGCAUGCAAGUCGAACGGUCUCGAUUUAUCGAGAUAGUGGCGAACGGGUGAGUAACGCGUAAGUAACCUGCCCCUAAGUAAGGGAUAACUCUGAGAAAUUAGAGCUAAUACCGUAGUGGUGGUGGAGGUAAUGCUUCAUCACUAAAGCUUUAGGGCGCUUAGGGAGGGACUUGCGUCCGAUUAGCUAGUUGGUAGGGUAAUGGUCUACCAAGGCGAUGAUCGGUAGCUGGUUUGAGAGGACAUCCAGCCACACUGGGAUUGAGAUACGGCCCAGACUCCUACGGGAGGCAGCAGCAAGGAAUUUUGUGCAAUGGGCGAAAGCCUGACACAGCGACGCCGUGUGGGGGAUGAAGGCCUUCGGGUUGUAAACCCCUUUUCUCAGGGAAGAAUAAUGACGGUACCUGAGGAAUAAGUCGUGGCUAACUACGUGCCAGCAGCCGCGGUAAUACGUAGGCGGCAAGCGUUAUCCGGAUUUAUUGGGCGUAAAGAGGGCGUAGGCGGUUUUUCAAGUCGAUUGUAAAAUCUCCCGGCUUAACUGGGAGGGGCCAGUCGAUACUGUUAGACUAGAGGGCAACAGGGGGAGGUGGAAUUCCCGGUGUAGUGGUGAAAUGUGUAGAUACCGGGAGGAACACCAGUGGCGAAGGCGGCCUCCUAGGCUGUUUCUAACGCUGAGGUCCGAAAGCGUGGGGAGCAAACAGGAUCAGAUACCCUGGUAGUCCACGCUGUAAUCGAUGGACACUGGGUAUAGGGAGUAUCGACCCUCUCUGUGCCGAAGCUAACGCAUUAAGUGUCCCGCCUGGGGACACGGCCGCAAGGCU
rnacentral:rRNA from 1 species